rnacentral:rRNA from 1 species
GACGAACGCUGGCGGCGUGCUUAACACAUGCAAGUCGAACGGUGAAGCUCCAGCUUGCUGGAGUGGAUCAGUGGCGAACGGGUGAGUAACACGUGAGCAACCUGCCCCUGACUUUGGAAUAAGCGCUGGAAACGGCGCCUAAUACUGGAUACGAGAAGGGUCCGCAUGGGCACCUUCUGGACAUCUGUUCGGUUGGGGAUGGGCUCGCGGCCUAUCAGCUUGUUGGUGGGGUAGUGGCUCACCAAGGCGGCGACUGGUAGCCGGCACGAGAGCGGGACCGGCCACCAUGGGACUGAGACACGGACCAGACUCCUACGGGAGGCAGUAGUGGGGAAUAUUGCACAAUGGGCGAAAGCCUGAUGCAGCGACGCCGCGUGAGGGAUGACGGCCUUCGGGUUGUAAACCUCUUUCAGCAGGGAAGAAGCGAAAGUGACGGUACCUGCAGAAGAAGCACCGGCUAACUACGUG